rnacentral:sRNA from 1 species
AAGAAAGUGACUGCUGCCCCGCACAGGGGCGAGCUAAUAGACCAUUAAGAAAGCAAGUUUCAUCGAGGUCGAAGCGCAUCAGACGGUUCUAUAACCGCCCCAAGCGCUAGCGAUAU